UUAACCCCACUCUAAACCCGAGAACGUCAUUCCAACGUCGUUAUUCGAACAGUGAAGACCGUACCUCGCUCGGUGGUUAUUUAUUAAUUUAAAUAACCGUUUCAUCGAUAUAAGGAGGAACCAAGCGUGUCCUUCACAUCGAGGAAUACGAGCUGGCUACAGUCUUACCGUUUGAGAUGACAUUGGAAUGGGCGGAGGGAGUCGCAGAUUCUGGUGACCCAUAAGGAACCAAAGGAAGCGAAACUCCACGCCAAAGGGGCGACAAGCCAAUCAUCCGUUUGGUUUGUAGAUAGUAUCGAAACAAACAUCUUUCUAUAUAUAUAUUUUUUUUUUGUAAUUAAUUGAACAGUUAAUUUAUUGUAAAUAUAAUUUUUCAGAUCUCAUUUAGAUUAAACUUUUCAUUAGUAAUGAAUUUAGAAUUUUAUUUUAAUAAUUGAGUUGAAAUCUCAUGCAUAUACUAAUAAUGUAUAAGAACUUAAUGAUAGAUAAUUUUUUUAUUGUAAUGAAAGUUGGGUGUCCAAGUAAUUUUUUCAUCUUAUUACUUUAGAAGAAUUUUGUAAAAUAGAUACGUAACGUAUUGUUCUUUUUUUUUUAUAUUUAUAUAUUUAUAAUCUGAAGAACACAACAUACAAAAUAACGUAAAGUAUUUUUCAUAUAUGAAUAAAUUUUAUAAUUAAAAAAAACGAACAAACAAUGAAGUUGAACAAAUGAUUUAUUGAUGCAUGCUUAUUUUUCAUUAACUAUUAAUUCCAUAAAUCCUUUUCAGUAAAUGGCACUCAUCCUCAAAUUGUUAUUGCAUAUGAAAAAAUUCAAUGGUCACAAAAAAGUUCCGGGCACUUGCUGAUCAUCUCUCUCGGUAAUAUCUACACGAAAUGAAAACAAUAAGAUGAUCGGGUGAGGUUUUUACUUGCGCAUGAUGAUUGAUAGUGAGGGAAAAAACAAAAUAGGGGGGAGAAAAGUUAUGUGUUUUUAGAAGGCAACUGAGUAACGCAGCCCGCAUGAACUACACCCAUCACUCUUCGCACCCUCACUUGCUUCUCCAAUUCCAACGGUUCGUUCGCGAGAAUCAGCACGUACGCCGUUACAACAAUGAGAUCCGGAUAAUAAUUGAGGUGGUGAGCUUUUUUAUAAUGUAACAAAAAAUCCCCGAUAAAAGUAUUUUCUCAGGUUUUGGAAAAGCCAGGCGAAGUUUAGAUUUCCUAGAAAAAAAUAAAUGGUUAAAACCAACUUCGGGUCGUCGUACUUCUGCGAUGGUGUCACUCUCACAAAAAAAGGCCGUCACUACAUCCGGUGGUAUUAAGCACAUGCAAAUAAUAAUAAUAUAGAAAGUAUACAGGUACUUGAUAAUUAUGUGCAUGAUCUGUUAGAAAAUCAAUUUCUAAUUAGAUGAAAUUUUUUAAAUGGAUUUUUUGAUAUAAAAACAAAAUAAUAUUGCGUAUAUAUAGUAAAGAUAAUUUGCCAAAAUGAGCAUUCGCAUAGCUCGGCAAUCGAAUAACCCAUGUUUUCACAGAUCUUGAAGCACCUUGAUUGUACAUAAUCCAGGAUGAACAGGUGUAGCAAAAAUACCAGAUCGCGAGAACUGGUUCUAGAUAUGAAGAAACGAGCGUGGGAGGCAAAUAACGGCAAAAUCGGAGACGUUGGAGUAAAUGAAAUGAAGGUUGAUGAAAUUUAAAUAGAGGUACCGCCGUAAAUGAUUACAGAUAUAAUAAUUUUUAUCAUUUAAUAAUAUCGUAAUAGUAAACUACUUUGAUUUGUAAAAACUAUUGUUGGGUUGGGGAUAUGGGGUAUAUAAGAAACAGUCAUUUUCGCUUCAGAGUCAUAAGAUAGAGAUGCCCGACAACCAAUUUUCACAUUCAAGCCCUCCGUUGAAGAUGGAAACUUUGGGAAACGAGAUAAGUGUUUAUGUAAGAUCCAAGAUCUAAAUUUUUUUUCUUUCUACUAUGGGGUUGGGCGGGGGAAACGAAAGUAUGAUUUUAAGUCGCAGGAAAACCUACUGGAACGCGUACACGAAAGAGCAGAGAAAGUAAGCGUGUGAACAGGAGAAAGCCAAUUUUACGAGUUUUAUCAGAAAAAUACCACAUUACAUCUGGAUUCAGGUAUCAUUCAUUCAUCAUUCGUACAAAUCUCGCGUUUUUUUUUUUUAUUGUGCAGAUAAGGACGAGUUUAUCCGAGUAACCAGAGAGUAUCGAGCCGAUAAACCUUAGAUCGAAACACGUGAGAAAUUUAAGAUCUUUAAUAUUAAUAUAUAAACGCUAUGUUUUUUAAAAAAAGAAACACCCGUAAUCCAAAAUUAUAGCAGAAAGAUAGGACAACAUUAAUCUUUUAAGCUUCAGAAGUACCUGAUACAAUGAAUGAAAGAAAUAACUGAUAUUAAAUACUUAGUGGAUUUAGAAGAUCAUUACGGUAAAUCAAGAGUUUAGAGGUAAAAAGUAUUAUCUUAUCUUUGGAUCUUCUUCUUAACUUAAUUUUUUUUCUCACUCUAUUUCUAUCACUGUUCGCGUUAUGAUUCUUUUGUUUGUGAGGGAGGUAGCGAUUCUGUUUUAUAGCACAGGAAACUUAUUACAACCGGAUAAGUUUAACUUAAAUAAGAAAACAAAGAUAACCAAGAUAUACAAAAGGAAUAUUUAUGAAACAUGAGAAAUACAAUUAGAAGAAUUAAUUUAACGAUACGAAUUUUUUUUUACAAAAAAAAAGAAGAAAUUGAAUUGAAGUCAAGAAAAAUAUUGAUUUAUUUAGGAAAUUAAGAGAGUUGAAAAUCAGGAAAUUAGGUCGAUAAUAUGAAAUAUAUAAAUGAAAAUAUUAAACGAUCCCUAUGGAAACUGACCGCAACAAUAAUUCCAGGUAAUUAGUAAAACAAUUAACGAGUAUUUUAUUUAACUACAUAAAUUUCGUUUAACAAUUUUUUUUUUAGACCUGAAAAUUUAAUCAGUAAAAACAAAAAAAAAUUACUUAAUAUGCCUUGGCCGACUGGCUUUUGCAAAAUAUUUACAAGAAACGAGUGAAAUUUAUAUAAUCUAAAAAUUUCUUUUAGCAAAAACAGGCUUUUAUGAAACGAGAGUUAAUUAAUUUCAAUAUUUAGUACCGAGAAUGGAUUUUGCACUUAAAACUAGUAUAAAUAUGCAUCCCUUCAUAUAAAAAUUUGAUUCAUCUACCAAAAGAAACAGCUUUUUUAUUCAGUGAAUUACUUCUACUACCAUAACUACUACUUCUGUUAACGUUCUCGUGGAUUGUUAUUGAAAGAACAAGAGUUAGUUUUAACGUGUAUUUAAAUCGUUUUGAUAAUUUUUUUGUGAAGUUUAAUAGUUUGUUUAUAUUACCAAAUGUUAUUUAUAUUAUGUUUUAAAGUUUUGUGAGCAAGUUCAUUAAUUUAUUUUUGUUAACUCUUAUAUAUUUAUAAUAAUUUGUUUUUACUGUAUACACCAGUAGCGCAUAUAACUGAUUUGAAUAGUUGUGUAGUGCGGUCACUUUUAAUUACGUGCAAGUUUUUAAUAAUUUAAUUAUAAAGUUUAUAAUUGUUAUUAUACAUAAUCAUCACACUAUGUAAUAUUGCUGCAAUGCUAAUAUCUGCUGGUAAUGAGCCUAUAUUUAUUAUUAUGUGUUAUGCGAAUGUCUGUAAACACAUCUAGGGUGAAUUGUUUAUAAUGCUGUAAAAAUAAUUUUGUCCUUACUCACUUAAUCCAAAAAUUAAUGGACAAUUUUUUCACAUUGCUCGUAUUGUGUCUGGAUAAAAAAAUAAUUAUAUGAAAAUAAUUAUUUUCAUUGUUGAAUGUUAAACAAAUAUUAUAUGGUGUAAUAUUAGAAACGUGGCUUUAUCUAUAUUUGUUGCUAGAACUAUCGGUGAGUUAUUUAUAAUCAUAUAUAAUUAGAGUUGUGAUUUUUUUUAAUAAUAUUUUUUUUUUUUUUCAUAAGUAUUUUCUUAAUUAACGUUUACGUAGAUUCCGCAGUUAACACAUUGUUUCUUUGUAUAAUAUUGUUCACACAAAAAAAAAAAAAACAAAUUAAUGCAUUGUUCUGCUGGAUAUUGUAAAUGUUAGGUACUCAAUACUGAAUAAGUAUUUUUGUACCCGCGACACGCUUUUAUAAUAAUAAAUUGAUAUUUUAUUGAGGGGUUUGGGGCUGGGGGACUACUAAUUAUUUUGCGAAUUCCAAAGUAUUUUCAGAACCAUACUCACCUAAGUGAUUAAUAUAUUGGAUACAUUAUUAUUAUUACUACUAUUAUUUUGUAAUGGCAUUACUACUUAUACGUUGAAAACAAAACGCAGCAAUUAUUAUCAUCUAUAUCUAUAAAUUGUCUCCAUAUUACGCAGAGCACAGCAUUGGAUUACGCUAAUAUAACGUUUUUUGGGCCACCUACUAUAUUGAUAUCUAUCUAUAAUUACUUACUAUAUCUAGGCAUGCAAAUUGGCUGUUGCUCUUUUUUUUGUAUUACUUAAAUAUUUGUAAUUAAAUACGCCUAUCACGAUAAAUCAUUCGUCCGCUUGGAGAAGAUUGGCACUGCAUAUAAUAAAUGAUGAGUAUUAGGCAUUUUAAUGUAUUUAAUAUAAUUUCAAGAGUUGGUUAUUAACUGAAUUGAGUUGAAUUAAACGAAACAAAACAAAAAACAAAAAAAAACGAAAGAAACAAAGAAAAAACAGGUACGCACUUUAGAUAAUUCAUUUGAUAUAUUUUUUUCAUUAUAUUGCACAAUGGAUAUGCUAGCAAAUGUGGUGCAUCAUAAAGCAAAUUGGCUUGGCUAUUAAAUUAGGAUAGGAUAAGAGGAUAAUAUAUUAUUACUAUAAUUAACAAGAAAACAACUAUUGAAGAUGAGUGACUAUACUAAGCGAUACAUUUCUAUAACAUAACGAAGAUUAAUAUUUACUAUUGAAGAGUAUAUUAGAAAUUCUGAAUUUAAUAAUUUCUGUAGAAGAUUAUGUUUACCACUACUUUUAUUAUUAUUGCAUUUAAAAAACUAUGUGUGUUAGAAUGGUAUAAUGCUAAUGAACAAACGUGAGUUAAAUAAAGCCCUUUUUAUCCUAUUAGUUUUCCCGCUAACUAAGUGUUUUUAGAAAACUACUUGGAGAAUGACUCGUAAGACAGUUUGGGACUUGGGGAUGUUGAUGCUUGGAAUGAUGCCUAGAUCUAGCUGCGGGGUUCCAUGCUGAUGUACCACUUCCUCCCAAAUGCUACAGAGGGUUUGGUCGUGAGCUUGUACAGCUGGGUGGUCGUUCAUUCUUCUUCCGGUCCCGAUGGCCUUCAGAGUCCAGCUAUCGUCUGUGGCAGGACAUGGCGUCCACACCCGAGUAUCAUCGUCCGCUGUGGUCUGACUCCUGGCAGCCGAUCUUCCGGAACUGCGGAGUGAUGACAACACGGGACACGCUCGUGUGAGGGUCCUUGGCGAUUGAAGACUCUUCUGGCGACGGGACACGCGUUACCUGGGGCUUAUUUCCGCACACCCGAGCACACCUGAGCACACUCAUCCGGUCGAGGCGGUUGUGACGGUAUUCCGGUUGGCAAAGGGGUUGAGGCUUUUUCUUAGAGCAGGAAUCUGACGGAGGCAUCCAGAUGAAUGCAGAGUUCCAGCCAAAACGCAUCUUCUUUUUAUUUUUUUAAUUUUUUUAUUCAUAUUGGUCUGGCAAACACCAAGCUUGACGAUCACAUUAUCUUAUUAGCAACUUCACUUUAUGUUUGGUUUUUUUCCUUGGUAUGUUUUGUAACUUGGAAAAUAUUUUUAAAUUCAAAACGGAAAAAAAAAAAACAAAAAAAAAAAGAAAAUGAAAUUGAAAUUUAAAAUUUAAAAAAAAAAUAAAAACAAAAAAAAAAGAGAAGGUAAAAAAAAAAUACAAUUAAAAAAAAGAAAAGGCAAAAAAAAAAUACAAUAAAAAUAAAAAAAAAAAAAGAAAAGGUAAAAAAAAUACAAUUAAAAUAAAAAAAAAAGAAAAAGGGAAAAAAAUACAAUUAAAAAAAAAAUUUUAAUAAAAAAAGAAGAAAAGACGAAAAAAAAAAUACAAUUAAAAAAAAUUGAAAUUAAAAAAAAAAAAAAAAGGUAAAAAAAAAUUAAAAUAAAAAAAAAAAAAAUAGAAAAUAUGGGGUUUGGGGGGUUUUUUUAGGCCAGCGCAGAAGAAAGAA